rnacentral:rRNA from 1 species
AGAGUUUGAUCCUGGCUCAGGACGAACGCUGGCGGCGUGCUUAACACAUGCAAGUCGAACGGGCAGCACUGGAAGGUUCGCUGGAAGGUGCUGUUAGUGGCGGACGGGUGAGUAACGCGUGAGGACAUGGCUCCAGGAGGGGGAUAACGUUUGGAAACGGACGCUAAGACCCCAUAUGCCGGAAGGUGAAACUGGCGCAAGCCAGCCUGUAGAGUGACUCGCGUCCUAUCAGCUAGUUGGUGGGGUGAAGGCCUACCAAGGCGAUGACGGGUAGCCGACCUGAGAGGGUGGCCGGCCACGCUGGAACUGAGAUACGGUCCAGACUCCUACGGGAGGC